UACGUAGGGUGCGAGCGUUGUCCGGAAUUAUUGGGCGUAAAGAGCUCGUAGGCGGUUUGUCGCGUCUGCUGUGAAAACGCGAGGCUCAACCUCGCGCCUGCAGUGGGUACGGGCAGACUAGAGUGCGGUAGGGGAGACUGGAAUUCCUGGUGUAGCGGUGAAAUGCGCAGAUAUCAGGAGGAACACCGAUGGCGAAGGCAGGUCUCUGGGCUGUAACUGACGCUGAGGAGCGAAAGCAUGGGGGAGCGAACAGG
rnacentral:rRNA from 1 species